rnacentral:rRNA from 1 species
UACGUAGGUGACAAGCGUUGUCCGGAUUUACUGGGCGUAAAGAGCGCGCAGGCGGUCGUUCAAGUCGAGUGUGAAAGCCCCCGGCUCAACUGGGGAGGGUCACUCGAUACUGAUCGACUCGAAGGCAGGAGAGGGUAGUGGAAUUCCCGGUGUAGUGGUGAAAUGCGUAGAUAUCGGGAGGAACACCAGCGGCGAAGGCGACUACCUGGCCUGUUCUUGACGCUGAGGCGCGAAAGCUAGGGGAGCAAACGGG